GGGUAUGUAGCUUAAAGGAUAAAGUAAUGGUUUCCGGAGCCAUAGAGUGUGGGUUCAAUUCCCACCAUACCUU
rnacentral:tRNA from 1 species